UGGAAGCCCCACACAAGUAGUGCGCUCCGGAUGUUGGUCACGCCAGGGAUUGCCUAUAUGGCCCCGCCAGACGGUCUCGGGUCCGUAGUGUGAGUUGAUUCUCCCUACGUGUCGAGAUGGCUAGUGAGCUGUAGGCGAGCCUUCGGGUAAGCCAUGAGAUUAAUGGACAAGUAAAUGAGGUUAAUGAAUGAGUGAAUAGCUUCACCUUUGGACAUGAUAAUGGGUUAGUUGUUUAUCCAUUUCCUUGUACAUGCAUUCAUAUAUUAUGAUUGGGCAUAGUAGCAUAGCUUCUUUUCCGUCAUUUACAGCUUUCCUUACCUAUCUAUCCAUCUAUUGGUAUAUCUACUGGUGCCCGCUUGGACCUAGUGGGGAGAUCGGCGGAGUCGGCGGCCGAACCCACUGGGAACUAAGGAAGUUAGUUCUCACCCCCAUUUUACUACAGGUUCCAGUUCGGGUGUCCCCGGUGAGCGGGAGGAUCGCGGUAAGGGCCCGGCGUUCUAGUCGCAUUAGCUACCUCCCUUUUUGCAUUAGCCGUCACCCUUUUAUAUUUGAGAGUAGUUGAUGUAUAGGGUGAGGUUCGAGUGGUUGUAUUUAUAUUUUGGAAGAAUGUAAAGGAUGUAAUUAAAUGUAUUAAGUCAGAUGAAUGUAAUAGAUAGCUCUUCUCUCUUUACGUACUUGUAUAUACUUUAUACUUGUAUCUUGCUCUCGUCUUGUGCACUGGUGGUGCUUUUGUGAUUGUGUACUUAUGAAUUGAUUCCUGGGUAAAUUCUUGUACAUGAUCGUUUGCUUAGCCUUGGGCGGACAGGGGAGACUCUGUCCGUUCGGCGUCUGUUCGACGCGCCCGGGGCCGAACCAAAUUGGUAGCGGUCUCGGGGCGUGACAGAUAAAGUGGUGUCAGAGCCCCAGAGCAAGUAAAGAGAGAGUCUAAGAUGACCUAGGAGACCCUAGGUGGGUAAACCCUAAGGUUAUAGGGACGUGAGUGAACGUGAACCUAUGGCGGCGGCUGAAGUUGAUCGAUUGGGUCGAAGUUGAUGUCACAUCCCGCUAUCGCCAAUUUGGUCGAUCCGGGCCCGUACACAGACGCCGAACGGACAGAACCUCCUCUAUCCGCCCAAGGCUCAACAACAACGAGUACAUGUAUAAAGAAAUAAACAAUUCCCAAGAUCACAUUUCAAUAUACAUGGCUUGCACGAGGGCAAGCAACAAUCACAAGUGAUAGUAAGUUAACUAAACAUAAAAUUCACUGUAAUUUAAAACUUUCAAACUGAACUGUAUAACUGAAACAUUUAGUUAUAUACAUGCUUAUAAUACAUUCAUUUACAUGUCUCUGUACAUCAAAAUGGAUGAUACAUUAACUCAAAAUGGUAACUGCUAAAACUCUGGUGUCAGCUAGCUAAGCUGCAGGGCCCUUGCCACGAUCCUCGACCACAACACUCGCACUGGAACCUGUAUGGUUAGUGGUGUGAGAACUACAAAUAAGUUCCCAGUGGGUUCGGCCGCCGACCUCGCCGACUCACCCACUAGGUCUACUCAGGCAUAUGUAGGCAAGAACAGUAAACAGAUAGUAACCAACUAUAACAUGUAACUACUACAAUGCCUGUACAAAGCUGAAAGGAAGCAAUAUAUGAAAACUGUAAAUAUGCAUGCAUGCUUGUCAUUAACUUUACCCAAUCUUUUGGUUAACCCUCUGGUUAACAGCUGGACAAGUACGUUAGUCCAUAAUUUACCCAAUUCAGUGGUUAACCCUUUGGUUAACAAUAACUCACCAACAAAAUCCCUCACGGGCCCUAAGCUGCCUCCCGAUGGGACCGUCUGUCGGACAAGUACGUUAGUCCUGGGGCAAGUACGUUAGCCCAACAAGUGACUACUCCGGAGCUCACUGCCUGGGGGGAGCGACCACCACCAAGCUAAGAAACAGACUAUGUGAGUAAGAUCUGAUCCUCCUUCAGAGGAUUCACAACAACUGACAAUGCCACAAGUAACUCUGACUAGNNNN
rnacentral:lncRNA from 1 species